UACGGGGGGAGCAAGCGUUGUUCGGAUUUACUGGGCGUAAAGGGCGCGUAGGCGGUCAGCACAAGACAGGUGUGAAAUCCCCGGGCUUAACCUGGGAAUUGCACUUGUGACUGUGCGGCUGGAGUGCGGCAGAGGGGGAUGGAAUUCCGCGUGUAGCAGUGAAAUGCGUAGAUAUGCGGAGGAACACCGAUGGCGAAGGCAGUCCCCUGGGCCUGCACUGACGCUCAUGCACGAAAGCGUGGGGAGCAAACAGG
rnacentral:rRNA from 1 species